CUCUUCUUUCUUAAGCAUGAAUGCCACUACAGUUUUUUUUUCACGAGAUCUGCACUUUAAGGAAUUUAGCUUUUAUAUAACACAUAGUGAAUGAGCGUAUGUACUUCUCUGUGGCUACCCAUAAGGUAAUACAUUGUCACUUUUCAACAGGAUUGCAGAGUGGCUUUGCUAAAAUUGUUUCUUUCAGUGGCACUCAGGAAAGAUCACAACAGUUGUGGAGUUACUACAUAAAGAGGCUUCUACUCCCCAAGGGAGGAGGAACCAGCUAA
rnacentral:lncRNA from 13 species